UACGAAGGGGGCUAGCGUUGCUCGGAAUCACUGGGCGUAAAGCGCACGUAGGCGGAUUGUUAAGUCAGGGGUGAAAUCCUGGAGCUCAACUCCAGAACUGCCUUUGAUACUGGCGAUCUCGAGUCCGGGAGAGGUGGGUGGAACUGCGAGUGUAGAGGUGAAAUUCGUAGAUAUUCGCAAGAACACCAGUGGCGAAGGCGGCUCACUGGCCCGGUACUGACGCUGAGGUGCGAAAGCGUGGGGAGCAAACAGGG
rnacentral:rRNA from 1 species